rnacentral:lncRNA from 1 species
CUCUUCCCGGUCUCCCUCCCCAGUGAGGCAAGGUCAUAUCCUUCCUCUCGGUUAAUGAUUUCAACACGAAUGUUGCCAAGAAAGCUACUUUUUCUCUUUCUCUCUCAUGAACACAACCGGACUUUCUCUAAGACUACAGCAACUUCCCCAAGUGAGUAUUUUGGGACAAGGCUUCCCUGACCGCGGCAGAGAUGACAGAAACAUGGAGACAGAACCUGGCACCGGGCUCUCCAGGUUCAAGUUCUUGCCCCCUGCCUGCCAACUUUGGGUCAAGUACACUAGAACUCGGUAUCCUCGUCUGCAAAAACCAACGGCGUAGGAUUGUGUGGGGCUGCUCUGAGUUUAAGGUGAGAUUAUGCAGCUGAGUUGGCAGUACUAAAGCCAUUUAUAAACACAGCUCCAGAAGUUCUCUCGCUCAAUCUCGACCGAGGCCUUGGCCAUGGGAACAGACAGGCAUUGGAGCAGAGACAGGAAAGAGAGCUGGGUCCAGCCUGGAUGCACUUGAUCUGUGUCACUUCCUGGGCAGGAAGGUCCUGUCACUGCAGAGGUCGCUACCCCUUUUCAAUACACAUUAUAAUAAUACUACGAUGGUCAGCCUGACAAUUUCCCAGGAUUUAGAAUCAUCGUAGAGAAAACAAUCAAAUUUCAGCACUUUUUUUUUUCCUUUUGAGUCAACCACAGCUGCAUCCUUAACCAUCCAGGAAGAGAAAGCAGCUGAUUCGUCAUCACAACAGGAUAAGAAAUCACAACUGAAACUUACCUAACAAAGAACACUCUCCGAGGACUAAGUUCCACAUUUGACAGCCAUAAGCAACUUUUAUCUGGAGAGUGAACCCAACAUGAAACAGGCCAAACACCCUUUCUCAACUCAUUCAGGAAAUACCAGGUCAGCUGUGUCUAGCCACAGCAGGUGGCUCAGCACAGGGCCUGCCUACCCCCGUUUACUUAAUAUUUGAUCACCAAGAAGUUCCAGACACAAUUGCUGAAGCCUCAAGAU